rnacentral:pre_miRNA from 1 species
UUUUAAAAAAGUUUAAUCCAUUUGUAUUGUUAAAAAUUAAGUCAUUAACGAAAUAACCAAACAAUAAUACCUGGCAUGCCAUUUGUACUUCAUAUUGAUGGGCAUGAACCAGUUUUUAAUAGUAGAAAUGAAUAAAAUUUUUAAUA